UGCCCCGGUGUGGAAUAGGCUGCAAUUAAUUCCUAUCUAUCAGCCAGCAUCACGUUUACUGUAACUCCAGCUAUCAUGUAUUAAAUCAGCUCAUCUUGUUCCUUUUCAGUAACAAGGCUGUACCUGUGCUGCAUACAGAAUGUGCUAAAAAGAGAAAAGUGAACUGUAUUCAGCACAUGCAUUUCCAUUAAUUAGCUUCCCUUUUGUAUGACCUACUAAUUUUUGUGUGACAAUUUCAAACUGCAAGUGGUGAAACAGAGCAGGUUAAAGAGGCUACCACAAAAAUAGUAGCAAAAGGAGCAACAGCUUCUGUGUCCCUCGGGGGUGCUUACCUUGCAGUUUUCCUGCAAUGUCUGCAUUGUAAUACAGGCAUCACCCCAUUUGGGGCACUGUUGUAAAUGUCCAAGUAGCUUUUCACCUGCUCUGCUGGCCGAUGUGAAAUUUUUUGUGUUUGCAGUAUGAUGUUAAAAACUCAAGUGUAAAUAGAUUAAAGGCAGGCUCCGCUUAUUUACAUGAGGAAGGUUCACAUUUCCCUCUUGAGCUGGCGGAGCAAUCAGCCCGGGGUGAUACUGGUAUUUGGUUUCUUUGUUCAAGCAAGUUAUUGUAGCUGUGGGGUAUGAAAACCUGCUCUGUGGAAUGGAAAGAAGGAAGAGCUUGUGGGGAAAACGGGAGAAACAGCAACCAGCAACGGAGCCCUGCGUUUGUUUAUUUACAACAAAUCAUACACAGAGAAUGUUCUAGCCAAUGCUUCUUUACCUGCCAAGCAAAACUGUGUGACCAAAUCCAGGAUCUGGGCAUGACUGAGCUUAGCAAGCCAUUUGCAGGUUUUCAGUGCCAAGGCCAGCACUCAGGAAUCCCUGACCCAGGAGACCAGGGAGAAGGUCUGGAGAAAGGAAGUCUUUCCCUUAGUGGAGGAGGAUUGGAUUAAAGAUCAUUUAGAGAAACUUUACAUCUUCAAGUCCCUGGGCCCUGACAGAAUGCACCCACUAGUGCGGAGGGAGCUGGCAGACAUCAUUGCUAGGCCACUCUCAAUCAUCUUUGAUAUGUCAUGGCAAUAAGGGGAGGUGCCUGAGGACUGGAAGAAAGCAAAUGUCAUCCCAGUCUUCAAACAGGGAGAGAACCCUGGGAAGUACAGGCCAGUCAGCCUCACCUCCAUCCCUGGAAAGCUGACGGAAUAGCUCAUCCAGGGGGCCAUCUCUCAGCAUGUGGAAGACAAGAAGGUGAUCAAGAGUAGUCAGCAUGGAUUCAUCAAAGAGAAAUCAUACUUAACCAACUUGAUCGCCUCUAUGAUGGGACAGUUGGCUGGAUAAAUGAGGGGAGAGCAGUCGAUUUUGUCUACCUGGACUGCAGCAAGGCUUUCAACACUGUCUCCUAUGACACCCUUGUAGGUGAGCUCAGGAAAUGCAGGCUGGACAAGAACUGCCUGAAUGGCAGGUCUCAGAGGGUUGUUGGAGACUUUAAAUAGUGGUGUCCCGCAAGGGUCAGUACUGGGUCCAGUAUUUGCUUAAUUUCUUCAUCAGUGACAUGGGCUAGAUGAACCCUGGUGGUGCUUACAACCUCAACCAUUCUGUGAUCUGAAUAAGAGUCUUUUCUGUCUUACAGGGAAAUCACAUAAUUGUAACCUAAAGAAUGGUUGUUUUCCAACUGCAAUUGUAUCCGAUGCUUGUUACUUCUUUUACAUCAGAAAUAAAGGUUGAGGGGCAUUAUGUAUUCUUUAGCUACUUCUGACUAGACCACCAUCCAGCAGAAGGGUUGCUGGAUAC